GCCAUGGUAUAUUCAGGAUUGCUAGCCAAUCCUGCAGGUCUUUUAUUAUGUCUUCGGCCACUAUUUCCAUAGCAUAAGACUAGGCAUUCGACCAGUACCAUAAACUUAUAUUCAUCAUAGCAAGCUGGGGAUUUUGCAGGAACAGUGUUGCGUGUAUGUUUGUAAAUGCAGAAUACAAUAGUCUUAAAAAUAGCAUAAACAAGUAGAGCAAGGACCAGAACCAUAACAAUAAUUAUUGCAAAUAGCUGACAUGUUAACCAAUUUUAAACAGACUAACCAGCUA